rnacentral:rRNA from 1 species
AACGAACGCUGGCGGCAUGCCUAAUACAUGCAAGUCGAACGAGAUCUUCGGAUCUAGUGGCGCACGGGUGCGUAACGCGUGGGAAUCUGCCCUUGGGUUCGGAAUAACAGCGGGAAACUGCUGCUAAUACCGGAUGAUGACGUAAGUCCAAAGAUUUAUCGCCCAGGGAUGAGCCCGCGUAGGAUUAGGUAGUUGGUGGGGUAAAGGCCUACCAAGCCUACGAUCCUUAGCUGGUCUGAGAGGAUGAUCAGCCACACUGGGACUGAGACACGGCCCAGACUCCCACGGGAGGCAGCAGUAGGGAAUAUUGGACAAUGGGGGCAACCCUGAUCCAGCAAUGCCGCGUGAGUGAUGAAGGCCUUAGGGUUGUAAAGCUCUUUUACCCGGGAUGAUAAUGACAGUACCGGGAGAGUAAGCCCCGGCUAACUCCGUGCCAGCCGCCGCAGUAA